AUACGUAGGUGGCAAGCGUUAUCCGGAAUUAUUGGGCGUAAAGAGGGAGCAGGCGGCAGCAAGGGUCUGUGGUGAAAGCCUGAAGCUUAACUUCAGUAAGCCAUAGAAACCAGGCAGCUAGAGUGCAGGAGAGGAUCGUGGAAUUCCAUGUGUAGCGGUGAAAUGCGUAGAUAUAUGGAGGAACACCAGUGGCGAAGGCGACGAUCUGGCCUGCAACUGACGCUCAGUCCCGAAAGCGUGGGGAGCAAAUAGGAUUAGAUACCCUAGUAGUCCACGCCGUAAACGAUGAGUACUAAGUGUUGGAUGUCAAAGUUCAGUGCUGCAGUUAACGCAAUAAGUACUCCGCCUGAGUAGUACGUUCGCAAGAAUGAAACUCAAAUGAAUUGGCGGG
rnacentral:rRNA from 1 species